AUACGUAGGGGACGAGCGUUGUCCGGAAUUACUGGGCGUAAAGGGCGCGCAGGCGGAUAUUUAAGUCAGCUGUAAAAGGCAUGAGCUCAACUCAUGUAUGCGGUUGAAACUGGGUAUCUAGAGUGCUGGAGAGGUAGGCGGAAUUCCCGGUGUAGCGGUGAAAUGCGUAGAUAUCGGGAAGAAAACCAGUGGCGAAGGCGGCUUACUGGCGAGCAACAGACGCUGAGGCGCGAAAGCCAGGGGAGCGAACGGGAUUAGAUACCCCGGUAGUCCUGGCAGUAAACGAUGUAUGCUGGGUGUGGGACUAGCGAUAGUUUCGUGCCGAAGUUAACGCGAUAAGCAUACCGCCUGGGGAGUACGGUCGCAAGAUUGAAACUCAAAGGAAUUGACGGGG
rnacentral:rRNA from 1 species